UGGGGAAUUUUGCGCAAUGGGCUAACGCCUGACGCAGCAACGCCGCGUGGAGGAUGAAGGUCUUUGGAUUGUAAACUCCUGUCAGCAGGGAAAAAGCGACUUAGGUUACUACCCUAGGGAGUUGAUUGUACCUGCAGAGGAAGCCCCGGCUAACUCUGUGCCAGCAGCCCCGGUAAUACAGAGGGGGCAAGCGUUGUCCGGAAUUACUGGGCGUACAGCGCGCGCAGGCGGUCUGGGACGUGCCGUGUGACAUCCGUCGGCUCAACCGACGGAGGCCAGGGUACACGAGCAGACUGGAGACAGAGAGCGGGAUGUGGAAUACCCGGUGGAGCGGUGAAAUGCGUAGAGAUCGGGUGGAACACCAGGGGCGAAGGCGGCAUCCUGGCUCUGUUCUGACGCUGAGGCGCGAGAGCGUGGGGAGCAAA
rnacentral:rRNA from 1 species